UUCCCGCCCAAACAGCCUACGUUCGCGGCGGGGGAGGGGGGUGGAAUGAGGCAGAAGAAGGCGGGGUCCUUCUGUUUUAUUCAGUCGGCACCAAUAGGAAACAGGAAGAUCUAAGAAUGAGAAAUGAUUGACAGGAUAAGGGCUUUUUUACUCCGUUGGAACCAAUAAGAAGAGCGGAUUCACGGAAGGCUGGAGAUGGUGAAACUUUUCCUGCUUGAGGAAAGCUGAGCUGCGAUUAAAUUGCGCUUAGAGGCGGGCUCUCUUCCUCCUGUGUCUUUUCCAAGCGGCUUGGCGAAGGUAAGUAUUCCACAGAUGCAACACAAAGAGCUUCUCCCGCGACGCGAAAGCAGCUUCACCAGUUGGAUUUCUGUGCGUCCCACGUGGCAGAGGAGGAAAAGGUGAUCGCUUUUUCCUGCCCUUUUUAAAAUGGCAGCGGCAGAAGCAGCAGCAUCGGAGGUGCUCCCGCUUCGCAUACAACCACACACGCGUCUCCCAGUCAGCUGAGGCGGAGUCUUCUUCCCACGUCGAUCUUUCCUCGGGGAGAGUGUCAGAGAGCCAGGACGUCGUGUGCCGCCGUUAGAGGAAUUUGCAAAUGGAUGCAAAACCUCCAGAGUGGUAGGAUAUGCAAGAAGAAGCACCUGAGAAGGAUAUUUAAUGGGGUGGAGGCCAGAAACGAAGAGACCCCAUUCCAUGACCCUAUUCCCCACAGUGCAGGAGGGAUUCCCAGAUGUUGUUGAUUACAACUCCCAUAAUCCAUUCCCCAGCCAAAGGCCAUCACAACAGGGGAUGUUGGGAGUUGUAGUGAACAACAUCUGGGAAUCCCUGUUGGAGGGAACACUGUUCCCAACAUUCCAUUGCCAGAAUAAGGGACAGGAGGUGUGUGAGUGUCAGGAGCCAUACCCUGCUCACCCCUCUGAGUCUGCUAACGAGUGGGGUCUGUUCCCCAAAAUAGGGAGGCUAAUAAUUAUAUGGCUGUGGGGACCACUUUCAUAGAGAACUAGCUUUGAGUAGCUGGCGUUUUCAGGUUUGCGAUGCGAGUGUCUCUUUGUUACUGCCUCAAUCGCCGUUUUGUGGAUAUACAUGUUGCGAGGUAGUUGUUGGGGUUCCCCGGACAGCCUGUGUUACUCACAGGCUCCUAGGCAGUCACUGUGCCAAGUUUGGUCCUAGGGUGUGGGAAUGUAUAGAGAACAGAAAGACAAACAGACAUUCUGUUUUAUAUGGAGAGGGAGAGGAUGCUGUUCUUCUCUCUUCCUCCCUUUUUAAACUUCUGCUGCCUCCACUAAGCUUUUCUUGCUUAGGUUUGUGUCCUGGCAAUCCCUUAGUAGUGCAGCUGAGGGCUGUGUGGGGAGAAGUUGAACUCACAGGACGUUGAGUGAACUUUAAAGUAAAACAAAGUGAAGUGUAUUUAUGUACAGUAGCUUAGAGGUUUCUCUCUGCAAGAGUAGGGCUAUACAAACAGCAGACACUUGCUUUUUGGGCAGUAUACAAAUAUAAUAGAUAGAUAAAUACAAGCAUAAUGGUUUCUAUAACACUGUAUCAAACUUAGUCCUUCAAGUGUAAAGGUAAAGUUUGCCAUCAAGUCUAUUUCGACUCCUGGUCCCCACAGAGCCCUGUGGUUUUCUUUUGAUAGAAUACAGGAGGGGUUGACCAUUGCCGCCUCCUCCCACACAGUAUGAGAUGAUGCCUUUCAGCAUCUUCCUAUAUCGCUGCUUCUCGAAAUAGCACCAGCGGGGAUUCGAACUGGCAACUUUCUGAUUGUUAGUUGAGCAUUUCCCUGCUGUGCCAUUAGGUGGCUCCUUUAAGUAUAGCUUCUGUUCUAUGUUACUGAGGUGCCUGUGUUGCAUUCAAAAAGCAGCGUUCCACUCCUAGCUCUUUUACUGGAAACAACCACCUUGGUUGGAGAUCCGUGUAUGAACCAUACAUAUCCAACAUUCAUACAUAAGAGUCACGCUUGCUAGCGAGGUGUUUCACCUCCCAGUAUCCAACCCAGAGACCUUCACUAGAGAGCCUAUCACUAGCCGUGCUCUGUCACUGGCUCCUCCAAGCCCUGUCUAGCACUCUCUCCAUCUAUCUCUGAGCUAACAGACAGUUUAACUGUCACCCUCUGCUCCUUUCUAAAGCCGCCAAUAAUAACAGUGUGUUUUUACCACUUUCAACUUAAACUAUAUCCUACAACUUAGGUGGCUUCUCUGCUUAUUGAUAUAACCAUCGUUAGGCAAACUGGGUGUGAUGUAAUUUUGUUGUCUAGAAAGAGUAGUGUUCUUAGCCAGUAAAGAUGGGUUUCACAUAUGAGCACUAUCUAGUAGUAGUCAUCGCGUGCAUGAUUUUCUUGAUCCUGAUACCUGGAGAAUGAUAAGUUAGCCAGUCAUUGAUGGCUGUUAAUGUUUUAUUUAUUUAUUACAUUUAUAUCCCGCUCUUCUUCCAAAGAACCCAGAGCAGUGUACAUGGUUAUCUUUGUCCUCACAAGAACCCUGUGAGGGAGGUUAGGCUAAGAGAUAUGUGACUGGCCCAGAGUCACCCAGAGUUUUCAUGGCUGAAUGGGGAUUUGAACUUGGGUCUCCCCGGUCCUAGUCCAACACUAACCGGUGCACCACACUGUCUAAUGUUCCCAAUACGGGACUAUUAGCGACCCUAAGCCUGCAGGCCACCAGAACCACAGAGUACUCAGGUUUGGGAGGGAGAAUGGAAAGGAGUUGGAGCUCAUGAUCAUGACCUUUAUUUUGUUUUAAGUGAAUGUUAUUAGGAAUGUGCUUCCUAGUGAAAUAAGAGCCUCCCCAUCUCUGAGCAAAUGAGCCCCUGGUGGCGCAGUGGUAAAACUGCCGCCCUGUAACCAGAAGGUUACAAGUUCGAUCCUGACCAGGGGCUCAAGGUUGACUCAGCCUUCCAUCCUUCCGAGGUCGGUAAAAUGAGUACCCAGAAUGUUGGGGGCAAUAUGCUAAAUCAUUGUAAACCGCUUAGAGAGCUCCGGCUAUAGAGCGGUAUAUAAAUGUAAGUGCUAUUGCUAUUGCUAUUGCUAUCUGUUCACCCAGGCUUUUAAUUGAUAUUGUUUUGAUUGUUUUUAAUGUUUUAGAAUAUUGUUGAAAAUUUUUUAAUUGUCAUGUUCUUAAAUUUCUUUUUUCUGUUUUUAACUAAUGUUUUACUUUUGUUUUUAUCUGGUUGUAAACCUCUCAGAGACGUAUGUUUUGGGCGGUAUAGAAAUACGAUAAAUAAAUAAAGUAACUGCUUUGA